GGCAGUGGGAGCUCAGUGGUUAAGGUUCUGCGCUAGAGACCGGGAGGUUAUGAGUUCAAAUCCCAGAACUGUCA